rnacentral:rRNA from 1 species
GACGAACGCUGGCGGCGUGCCUAAUACAUGCAAGUCGAGCGGAUGGAAGGAAGCUUGCUUCCUAAAGUCAGCGGCGGACGGGUGAGUAACACGUGGGCAACCUGCCCCUAAGAUCGGGAUAACUUCGGGAAACCGGAGCUAAUACCGGAUAUGAUUAUGUCUCACAUGAGACAUAAUGGAAAGACGGUUUCGGCUGUCACUUAGGGAUGGGCCCGCGGCGCAUUAGCGAGUUGGUGAGGUAACGGCUCACCAAGGCGACGAUGCGUAGCCGACCUGAGAGGGUACUCGGCCACACUGGGACUGAGACACGGCCCACACUCCUACGGGAGGCAGCAGUAGGGAAUCUUCCGCAAUGGACGAAAGUCUGACGGAGCAACGCCGCGUGAGUGAAGAAGGUUUUCGGAUCGUAAAACUCUGUUGUUAGGGAAGAACAAGUACCAUAGUAACUGAUGGUACCUUGACGGUACCUAAUCAGAAAGCCACGGCUAACUACGUGCCAGCAGCCGCCGCGG